UUCCACUCAAUAAUGCAUUUUAAAUCUGUAUCCUUUACUUGCUUUUCUUGGGCUCAUCAAGUUUAGGCAUAAGCUUUUUAUCAACUCUGAUUUGGGUUACUGUUGACUUGAAAUACAUCAGAAGGAGGAUCACUGAGCCAUGGCUAUACCGAUGGUUGGAUGUCAGGAGCAGAUGACCUCUGCGGUUGACCAUGGAAAGCAAAACUGCAGAUUCAUCCUGGCAGAUUAAUACCCA
rnacentral:lncRNA from 1 species